rnacentral:rRNA from 1 species
CACGCCGUAAACGUUGAGAACUAAGUGUUGGGGAGACCCAGUGCUGAAGCUAACGCAUUAAGUUCUCCGCCUGAGGAGUACGCACGCAAGUGUAAAACUUAAAGGAAUUGACGGGGGCCCGCACAAGCAGUGGAGCAUGUGGUUUAAUUCGUGGCUACGCGAAGAACCUUACCAGGACUUGACAUAUAGAUGCCCGGUGUAGAGAUACACUUUUUUCUUCUGAAACAUCUAUACAGGUGG